rnacentral:lncRNA from 12 species
UGUGGAGUGAUGAGGAAGAAGCAACAAACAAAACUCUCCCUGUGUCUGACAAUAAAAGAAGAGGAUGUUGAGUUAAAAUGUAGUAGCAAAGGCUAUCACAAGAUUUUGGCAAAAAAUUCUCUGGGGCGAUGAUUCUGUUUAAGACACAAGAAGCAUCUGGAUUAAAAAUUUAGAAAGUAAGAGGUGGCAUAAAGGGUUCGUGUGGAGCUAGGGGGCCGCAGUCUUUGUUCAGGAGUGUUUAUCGUGACGGAUAAUUCAUCAUGUUAGAUCAGGAGGGAACCAGUCUGUCUUGGAUGUGUCUAAUACAAUGCAGCCUGGGGGCCAGAGCGGAAACCAGACCGCCUUUCAAGGUCCCUCCGAACCUGUGACUCUGUGAUUAGUUGAAUAAUUGAUGCUCUAAAUUGUAAUUAUUUUUCCCCUUCAGGGUAGACGGUAUGCAUGAAGGCAGUUGUGGAGAGAGAUGCACUGCGCAGCUCCAGUGGGUCAUUGAGGCACUGGGAUUCGUCUACUUAGAUCUGCUGGGAGUCCAUUUGAGGAUCCUCCAUUUCCCUCUGUUGAAAUACAUUAGUUACUAUGGAAACGUCAUGUCCCCCACGUGGAUGGAGUGUGUUGACAUCUACAAUUGCAAAGCACAAGCACGGGAAACUGAGUGUCCUGGCCGGAGAAAUACCUGAAGGGUCAGCAGGGAAAUAUUGACUUGAUGCACAACACACCUGCCAGGAUGGGGCCAACCUGCUCGCGGAUCAGAGGUUCCAGAAAACAGAAUGGAAGCCCAGCUGCAGGAUGGGCUCCCUCUGGGGUUGAGCAGUUCCCUGACUGCCGGCAUGGAGCCCAGUGCCCCCAUCCUUGGUGGUAUCUGCUGUUGCCAGCUCCCUUCACCCAGAACUGCCCCCAGACAACCGUAACACAGCUGGAGAGCAAACAGAAAUCAAAUUCGUCCUAUCUUCCUUUAUUUGGCCAUCGGAAGGGGCAAUUUUUGCUGCUGGAGCUGUUAACAAGGCCAUGA